GGCUUCGAAACUCAGCUAGUAGAGUGCUUGCCAUGUUUAGGCAUGCUGUUUCUGUAGCUGGUUCGAAUCCAGCCGAAGCCC
rnacentral:tRNA from 1 species